rnacentral:rRNA from 1 species
CCAAAAGCUGAGGAAAAGGAACCAACCGGGAUUGCCUUAGUAACGGCGAGUGAAGCGGCAAAAGCUCAAAUUUGAAAUCUAGUACCUUCGGUGCUCGAGUUGUAAUUUGUAGAGGGAUACUUUGGGGCCGUCUCUUAUCUAUGUUCCUUGGAACAGGACGUCAUAGAGGGUGAGAAUCCCGUAUGAUGAGAGUCGCGGUUCUUUGUAAAGUUCCUUCGAAGAGUCGAGUUGUUUGGGAAUGCAGCUCUAAGUGGGUGGUAAAUUCCAUCUAAAGCUAAAUAUUGGCGAGAGACCGAUAGCGAACAAGUACAGUGAUGGAAAGAUGAAAAGAACUUUGAAAAGAGAGUGAAAAAGUACGUGAAAUUGUUGAAAGGGAAGGGCAUUUGAUCAGACAUGGUGUUUUGCGCCCUCUGCUCCUUGUGGGUGGGGGAAUCUCGCAGCUCACUGGGCCAGCAUCAGUUUUGGCGGUAGGAUAAAUCCAUAGGAAUGUGGCUUGCUUCGGUAAGUGUUAUAGCCUGUGGGAAUACUGCCAGCCGGGACUGAGGACUGCGACAUUCGUCAAGGAUGCUGGCAUAAUGGUUAUAUGCCGCCCGUCUGA